rnacentral:rRNA from 1 species
CCUACGGGAGGCAGCAGUGGGGAAUCUUGCGCAAUGGGCGAAAGCCUGACGCAGCAACGCCGCGUGCGGGAUGAAGGCCUUCGGGUUGUAAACCGCUUUCAGCAGGGAAGAAAUUGACGGUACCUGCAGAAGAAGCCCCGGCCAACUACGUGCCAGCAGCCGCGGUAACACGUAGGGGGCGAGCGUUGUCCGGAUUUAUUGGGCGUAAAGAGCUCGUAGGCGGUUCGGUAAGUCGGGUGUGAAACCUCCAGGCUCAACCUGGAGACGCCACCUGAAACUGCUGUGACUAGAGUCCGGUAGGGGAGUGUGGAACUCCUGGUGUAGCGGUGAAAUGCGCAGAUAUCAGGAAGAACACCAGCGGCGAAGGCGGCACUCUGGGCCGGUACUGACGCUGAGGAGCGAAAGCGUGGGUAGCAAACAGGAUUAGAUACCCUGGUAGUCCACGCCGUAAACGUUGGGCACUAGGUGUGGGUCUCAACCAACGAGAUCCGUGCCGCNGCUACGCAUAGUCGCCCGCCGUCGGGAGGUACGGCCGCGACGGACGUAAACCGUACGAAACGUAGAAGUUAGUAACGGUCGUGUUAGACGUAGACCGAACGGACGACGACGAGGGAGGAGG